AUUGAACGCUGGCGGCAUGCCUUACACAUGCAAGUCGAACGGCAGCAUGAUCCAGCUUGCUAGAUUGAUGGCGAGUGGCGAACGGGUGAGUAAUACAUCGGAACGUGCCCUGUAGUGGGGGAUAACUAGUCGAAAGAUUAGCUAAUACCGCAUACGACCUGAGGGUGAAAGUGGGGGACCGCAAGGCCUCAUGCUAUAGGAGCGGCCGAUGUCUGAUUAGCUAGUUGGUGAGGUAAAGGCUCACCAAGGCGACGAUCAGUAGCUGGUCUGAGAGGACGAUCAGCCACACUGGGACUGAGACACGGCCCAGACUCCUACGGGAGGCAGCAGUGGGGAAUUUUGGACAAUGGGCGAAAGCCUGAUCCAGCAAUGCCGCGUGUGUGAAGAAGGCCUUCGGGUUGUAAAGCACUUUUGUCCGGAAAGAAAUGGCUCUGGUUAAUACCUGGGGUCGAUGACGGUACCGGAAGAAUAAGGACCGGCUAACUACGUG
rnacentral:rRNA from 1 species